rnacentral:rRNA from 1 species
GACGAACGCUGGCGGCGUGCUUAACACAUGCAAGUCGAACGGAAAGGCCUGCUUUCCCUUGUGGAUUGCGGGUGCUCGAGUGGCGAACGGGUGAGUAACACGUGAGUGAUCUGCCCCCAACUUGGGUAUAAGCCUGGGAAACUGGGUCUAAUUCCCGAUAGGACUGCAGGGUGGUGCCUGUGGUGGAAAACGAUUUUCUAGUGGUUGGGGAUGAGCUCGCGGCCUAUCAGCUUGUUGGUGGGGUAAUGGCCUACCAAGGCGGCGACGGGUAGCCGGCCUGAGAGGGUGGACGGCCACAUUGGGACUGAGAUACGGCCCAGACUCCUACGGGAGGCAGCAGUGGGGAUUAUUGCACAAUGGGCGGAAGCCUGAUGCAGCGACGCCGCGUGGGGGAUGACGGCCUUCGGGUUGUAAACUCCUUUCGACCGCGAGGAAGCCACCUGGUUGGAAGGGUGGUGACGGUAGUGGUAGAAGAAGCACCGGCUAACUACGUG